rnacentral:piRNA from 1 species
GCAUGUCUCUGUGGCGCAAUCGG